GAUGAAGAACGUAGCGAAAUGCGAUAAGUAAUGUGAAUUGCAGAAUUCAGUGAAUCAUCGAAUCUUUGAACGCACAUUGCGCCCGCCAGUAUUCUGGCGGGCAUGCCUGUCUGAGCGUCAUUUCAACCCUCAUGCCCCUAGGGCGUGGUGUUGGGGAUCGGCCAAAGCCCGCGAGGGACGGCCGGCCCCUAAAUCUAGUGGCGGACCCGUCGUGGCCUCCUCUGCGAAGUAGUGAUAUUCCGCAUCGGAGAGCGAUGAGCCCCUGCCGUUAAACCCCCAACUUUCCAAGGUUGACCUCAGAUCAGGUAGGAAUACCCGCUGAACUUAAGCAUAUCAUAAGCGGAGA
rnacentral:misc_RNA from 1 species